GCAGUACGGCGAGUGAACAGGGAUAAGCCCAGCACCGAAGCCUGUGGCCAUUUGGUCACUAGGCAAUGUGGUGUUCAGGUCGUUCCGCAGAGGUGCUGCUCCACCCUAAGUCCAACAAUGAGUACGGUAGUACGGACAUGGCCCACAGAGGGUGAAAGGCCCGUGGGGGUGGAGAUCAGGCAGGCCAGUGCCUCUCUGGGUAGACCUUGGAGUCGGGUUGUUUGUGAAUGCAGCCCAAAGCGGGUGGUAAACUCCAUCCAAGGCUAAAUACAAGCACGAGUCCGAUAGCGAACAAGUACCGUGAGGGAAAGUUGAAAAGUACUUUGAAGAGAGAGUAAACAGUGCGUGAAACCGCUCAGAGGUAAACGGGUGGAGUUGAACUGCAAGCUCUGGGGAUUCAGCUGGUGAGUAUGACAUGAGCUGGGUCAUAUCGGUCGGACUUCGGGGUCUGUGUAGCAGCAGGUCUCUGCCCUCGGGUGGGGAUGCGCGAUACACUUAUCAAGUGUUGUGCGCUCCGGAGUCCUUASGGCUAACUUGCCAGUGCACUUUCUCAGAGUGGUCCCCACGACCGGCACUGCUGUCUGGCUGUUGCGGUUAAACCGGACUUGCAUUGGCCUUGUGUCUUUGCUUGKUCGGGAUGSCAGGUAUCUCGUUGGCUUGUSUGUGSCUUGCUSCAGGCGUCGGCUUUCGGGUGUAAUCAGCUGACUSCAAUGGUUCUGUSCGKUGUGUCGGAGACGGCGGCUUGUGGUGUGUGCAUGCGUGCSUGGUYGCUGGCGCGUCCGGGUUUGGUUGCUAUGUYSCUYGUUCAASCAAGCCUAGUGAUGGCUCGGAUUCGUUCGKUGGUCAGUUGCGUGUGUGGCACUAUUUCAGGGCCAAUAGUCUGUGGUGUAGUGGUAGACGUUCCACCUGACCCGUCUUGAAACACGGACCAAGGAGAGUAACAUGUGCKCGAGUCAUUGGGCGUAACGAAACCCACAGGCGCAGUGAAAGUAAAGGUUUGGCUUGUCCAGACUGAGGUGAGAUCCUGCUGUGUCUCACGCGCGGUACUACCGAGCAUCGAGCAGCGGGCGCAUCACCGGCCCGUCCCAUGACGUAGACACAUAGUCUUCGGACCAGUGCACCGUCGGGGCGGAGCAUGAGCGUACAUGUUGAGACCCGAAAGAUGGUGAACUAUGCUUGCGCAGGUUGAAGCCAGAGGAAACUCUGGUGGAGGACCGCAGCGAUUCUGACGUGCAAAUCGAUCGUCAAACGUGAGUAUAGGGGCGAAAGACUAAUCGAACCU
rnacentral:rRNA from 1 species